CCGUCCCUUCCGCCCCGCCCGGCUCUCGGCGCGUCCUGGCGGGGCUGGGGCUGGGGGCGGGCGGGUUUGCCUGGGAGAGCCGAGCCUCUCGUUCUGCGUGUCCCGUGGUUCGAGCGCUGGGCUGCGCUUAAAGCCCGGCCGGCAUCAAGGACAGCGUAAGCAGCGUGCCAAUCCCUGAAGUUGCGGCUCUUUAUAGGUUAUUUUAAAGGAAAGCAUAUUUACAGGGUAUAUUUACAGGAAAGCACCUUGGCAGGUUGGGACCCUCACCAGAAUGAUUUUGACUUCAGCGAUGGUAGCGCAGGAGUGACCUCCUUAGCGAUACAAAGUUGAUCAAGGGACUGGAGCAUCUCUUUUACGAGAAAAGGCUCAGGGGGCUGCGCCUGUUCAGCCUUGAGAAGAGGCAACUGACGGCCAUGAUUCCCAGAAUGUAUCCCAGGUGCUUUGAGCUGAAGAUUGGGAUAAAGAGCAACAUCUUGUACAGUGGAUGUUGUCCUCAGCUCUGAACUGACGUCCAGCUGAUGGGAAGAUGGAAACCUGCUUCUCUCACCCUGCUCCUUGAGCCUUUCCUUGUAUAAAGAUGGGAAGCCAUCACCCUCCAUGCAACCUGCAGCAAGUCCCGUUCUCAAAGGCUUGAGUUGACUGGUGCCAGCAGGGAAAGGAAUCCACCCAUGGGGGAAGAGGACUUGGUGACUGCCAAACCCUUGGAAGUGCCCCUCCUGGCUGCUCUGUUGUUCUGCAUAAAGCAAGACCUGCAUUUGCAGUUCCUCCUGCUCUGGCUUCAGGGGAUAAAUCGGAGGUGUUUUGGCUGAGGAACAACUCUUCCCUGGGGGGAAAAAAGGCCAAAAGCCAAUUCACAGAAAGACAGGUUGAAUACUAGAACUCAAGAUGACAAUCUGACAGCCACUUGGCAUCUGCUCUCAGAUGGCAGCCAGCUGGCUUCUCACAACAGUGUGUGCACCAGCAACAUUGUUAGGAAGAGCUUGCUGAGAAAGGCAAGGCAGUCCCUGCUUCGGCGCGACACCUCCUGCGAGGCUCCUCCUGUGCAGAGCCCGGUGUGUUGGUGCGUCACAGCGGGGCUGCUCUGGCACUGCUGCCUUUCCCCACAACAUCUGCACCCCCUGGCACCCCUAAGGAAUCACCAAAUUACUGAUGGGGGCUAAUCAGCAUCAACCACCUGAUUUUCUGGCCUUCAUCCUGCUAAUACACAAGGGUUUAUAGCUUUAUGCAAGGCAGGGCCAGCCAUUUGACUCAAAGGACAACGAGACUGUCGGGUGAAGGCUUCAGAAUGUUGGCUCUGUGGACUUGGAAUUGCACUUGCUUGCACAGUACCUUGCAGAAGAUGAACCCACCUAUCAUUUUGAUUCAUAGUGGCAGUAUGGAUUUGAUUAGAUAUUUUGCUGGGAGACAGCAAAAUUUUCCAUUCUUGUUCAGCUCGAGGACAGGUUGAAAAACAGUUGCCAUACAAAGCUGCCAAGCUCUGCUCUGUCAUGGGAACACCUUGCAGCCCUCUUAUCAGGCCCCACUGACUACAGUGCUGAAAAUGUGCCAGUGCUGGUGGUGUGUACUUCACUUGUGUGUAAGCCAUUGUUCCCGGCAGGGAUAAAUAUAAGGGCAGGGAGAAAUGCCUGCAUCUACAGACAAGGACAGUACUGCAUCAAGAAUGGACCUAAACAGCAAGAAUGGACCUAAACAGCUGCCAAAUGUGUAUCAACUUCAGGUCUUUUUCUCUGUCCUGUCUGCACCAGCUUUUUCAAGUGCUCUUGUUCUUGCUCCGAGAAUUCCUGAUCUAUCUCUGCUUUACUGAUAGCUGUCACAGACACACAAUCCACCAUCUUAAGUAUUUGUGUGAUCAUGAAUUCAAUGCAGAACACUGAGAGCUUUCCACUUCUGGCAAUUAACUUGAGAUAAAUAAAAGUGGUAAGAGGAGGCAUUAAGUUACCCACCUGCAGAAAACUGGCUCUCUGCUGAGUGCUCUUGACAGAUGAGUGCAUCUGAGGAAGUGCUAAUUGCAAUAUACUCCUUAACGGUUUUUAUGUUGAUGCACAAAAGAUUGAGAAAAUGGGAAGAAAAUGAAAAUGCCUCUGUCUUUUGAGUCACAGUGGAAAAUAUACAGGAAUUGGCCUCUCACACAAAGAAUAUGCUAAGAACAGGGGAACAAGCAGAGGGUUGGUGCCAUGAAUAGAAAUCUCCGUCUGUGCUCUGGCCAUGGUCCAGACUGCAUGACAUAGUGUACCUGAUACGGUGCCCAUUUGGAUUAUUUAUAUAACAUCAUAGGUGCAAUGAGUAAUGCAGGAAGAUGCUCUGUGUGACCCCAGAGUCUCAUGUUGAGAGUGAGACAGACACGAAUACGAAGGUUCAUUUUUGAUGCAUGCACAGGAAAAAGCAGCACUGGAUCAGAUGAGGAACAAAGCUCAGGUAAAGAAGCAAGUACUGAUCUUGGCCAUAAAAAUGACAUGAAAAAAGACAAAGGAUUGCUAGGUGGGCACAAAGUGCUGUGAAGUAAUGGAGCCAAGGGUGAGGACUGAGAGUGCAACAGAAGGAAUGGUAGGAAUGGUGAGAUUAGACAGAGCUAUGUGUCUCUAGGAAAUGAAGUUACAAAGACUGUGGACUUGGAAGAAAACAGGAAACUGGGUUAUAGGAGUGGUGGACUGUAAUAUACGUGCAUAAUAUGCAGCUGGUACUUGGUACACAAUAUUUUUGAAGACAUGGGCAAAAAAACAAGAGACAGGAUAAAGGCAUAAGUGUCUGGAGUAGAUGCAACCAGUGCAGUGAAUGCCUGACAUGAUGGGAGCCAUGUGAGCUGGUGGCACUGCUAACCCACUUGGGGUCAGUUGGCUUGGGAUGAAGCAGAGUUCAUCAAGUAGGAGGGAAAUGCAAUGUGCUGGCAUCCCCAUGGCCAUUACUGAUGGGAGUGGUGAGAAAUCCAUAGCCCCACACUUAUCCUGCACCCUCCUUCCCCAAAAACUGCACCAGGUGCACCUCUUGUCCAUAGCGCUAUAAAGACCUCAAAAGUGAGCGCAACAACAGCAGAUUGAAAAUAUAUCUGAAUUUAACUGCAACAGAGCUGCAUUUAACUCACUUGUGCAAUUUCCCACCCUUAAAAGGGAAAAUGCAUGCUGUAUGGUCCAGAAGGCACAACAGGGAGAGUAGAUGUAAUGUGCUGGAGACAAUUGCUGUAAACCUGCACUAUCUCUACUCCAUGUUAUAUUGCAGUAAUUAUUUUUUCCUCCAUAGAGAAACUUUUAAAAAGUCAAAGAACAAAGGCUUUUUGCCAAAGAUAUAGCAGAUCCUUUGGCUCUUCAAAUGCUACCCCUUUGGAGAAGGAAGAAAUGCAGCCAGGAUUGCAUGUGGCAGCUCAGGAAUAUCUGGGAAACAGCACAAAUGUUCACAACAACCUCUGACCUGCUGCACAGAAUCUGCCCCAUGCAAACUAGGAAUGAUGAUUACAACACAGACCUGGCGUCAGCCAAAGAGCACAGCGUGUUCAAAAGUCCCAUUUACAGCAUGAUUUGGGUCAGUAGAAACCAGGAAGGAAAUGGUUACGUGAAUGUUUCUUCACUGUAUUGUUUACAGGAUACACAGGGAAAUUUUUGGCUUCAUAUUUGGGUAGUUCAAAAGGCAGAGCCAGCAUAGUUGAGAAGAAGAAUUGGCAGCACUGAAUUUGGCCAUAGCAAAGGCAGAUUUCAGUGCUGACUGCCAGAGAUUACGUCUUUGUUCAUCCUUUUAGUGGCAGUUCUGACAGGCUCCCACAUCAAAUCACUCCAGCUCAGGCCAGAGAGCUAUUCUGGCAGGGUUUAUCCACUUACAUAAGCAGGGAAAAGAUGAGAUGCGACCUUGACUGGCAUAACCGCGUUGGGAGCAGCCUCCAGUUCUGAAGUAGUUUUCUUGGCAGAACCAUGCAGUUACCUGGAUGACCUGGUUUGUUUUGUGAGGCUUCUAAUACCUCUGUUUUGCACUGUGGCUGUACUGUGGGCUGCCUGCACAGACCUGCCUGUGGCUCUCAAGUCUGGAUUUAGUGGCCAUUUUAGCCUGACUGGAGUUUCCUGGAGUGGGGCAGCACAAAAUAUUGUUUCUCUACUGCAUGUUUUUAUAUGGUGGCAAUGGAAAAUAUUACAGGGUGUCAGAUGGAUAAAAUUUUCUGUUACAAAGAGCAGAGAUAUUGCAGUUACCCAUAUCACUGUCCUGUUGUUAUACAAUGUACUUUGACAGAAAGUUCAAAACAUCUUUUAGACUAGGAUUGAUGAAGGAAGGGCCAGCAUCAUUCAAACAAUAUUGGAUUUAGAUUUUCAAAAAUCAGGAUAAACUAUUUUUCCAGUGGCCUAAUCCUAUUUGCUUCAUUAAAGGCCUGCUGCAUUGCAGGGAGCUGCAAUUCAGGGUAGAAAAUUCUUCCAACAGAAGAAAAUGGCUUUAGCCUUUUGUGUGUGAGAAAGAGGGCAAAGAAAAGAUUAUGGAAGACAAACUAUGACACAUUUGUUUUGAACCAUUUAAACAGCUCUAGGCAUGGGCUGUAUUUUUCAGUAUUUUCAAACAUAUUUUUUUAUGUACUACAAUAGAACUAGUAAGGAACUGGUAUCAUUUGAUGCUUCUAUUUCUGUACAAUGGUGGUUUACUAAUUAUUUAUUCCAUGUUUUUAACAUAAAUUCAUGGAUCAGUAAAAUAACAAAUUGAGCACAGGCCUGAAGAGUUCUAGGUUAUUCUCCUGACUUCUACUCCAUCCUUUCUUUCCCAUCUCAUCAGACUUGGAGAAGUACAAAAUAGAGAAAAGAUGGAAUGCCAGCUGGAAAGAACUGGUAAUGGCCUCUUGCCUGGGGACGGUAAUUUGUUAAGCUCUCUCCUGGGAUGGGUGCUCAUUAGUCACAGUCCUUGUGAACUGAGCCUGGUCUGUUCUUGAUCAAGAUAUGUGAAUUUAAAUCAGAACUUGAGGAUCUCCAGAACAGAGAGCUGGGAAUUUGCUUCAUCAGUCCAGGUAAACUAACUCUAGCCUAUGGUUAUCAUCCACAGCUAUGAAUCCCAAGUUGAUUAUGAGGAAAAUACAACAAUUAAAAUUCUACUUAAUUUAAUAUACCUGAAGUUAGAUCAAGUUCCUUUGAUGCCUCUCAGUAGAAGAAGACCAGAGCACUUCCCAGCGUUGCACUUUGACUGUAAGACUUUCAUAAUUAUUUGUCAGUCAUGGCCAGCAUUGAAGCCAAACAAGAUCCUUUAUAAUCACAAAACAUUUCAGCUUAUUCACUACCUCUGUGUGUUUCAACCACAACUUGCCACCAUUGGGCUCUGAGAUCCAAGCAGUUGCAAUGACUACAGAUGCACUGAAUGUUGCCAGGGAAAGCAGGAGGAGGAAUUGAGC